rnacentral:rRNA from 1 species
AUGUACAGGCCGCGAAUCCAUGUGCUGGACCUGCUCCCCAACCCGCACCCCAGGGGCUUCCACGACUCCGCGACCGCCCUCAGCCGCAAAGGCGGCGCCUGGUACGCCGUCGCCGCCACGAGCGAUUGGUCCCCGGUGUACAAGACCGAGUGCAACUGCGACACGCCCAUUAUCAGGGACAAGCUCGCCCCCCUACCCGUCGAAGUGUCGGAAGAAGACAGGCCGUAUCACAAGACGGACAAGACGAUCACGAUCGGCGACGAGCGCGGCGCGGUCGCCUGGGUGGACCUCUGGCGCGGCAUCCUCGUCUGCGACGUGCUCGUGGAGCCCCUACAGCCUGACUGUCAACUUUCAGUCAAAGAUGUCACCAUGGAUGCCGGCGGCGUCCCAGGUCAUUGCGACCUGCUGUCUAAGCUGAGCGGCAGCGGCAGCGACACCACCCCAACGUUGCAAAAACUUCAGAUGGUGUUCCCCACCAUAAGCAUAGACGACGACGACAUUGUCUACUUGGCUUCUAGCACCAAACACGGGAUCAUGGAAAAGAUGGAGUUCAUGAUUGCUAUCGAUGUGAGGAACAAAACCCUGCGAGGAGUAGCCCAACUUGAUGUAAAGAAGCGCUUCGUUUUCUUUCCCACCUUCUACACCAGUGAGAUCUGCAGAUAUCUGAGCAAGAGUGCAGGUAAUUAA